CCUACGGGAGGCAGCAGUGGGGAAUUUUGGACAAUGGGCGAAAGCCUGAUCCAGCCAUGCCGCGUGAGUGAAGAAGGCCUUCGGGUUGUAAAGCUCUUUCAGCCGGAAAGAAAUCGCGCAGGAUAAUACUCUGCGUGGAUGACGGUACCGGAAGAAGAAGCACCGGCUAACUACGUGCCAGCAGCCGCGGUAAUACGUAGGGUGCGAGCGUUAAUCGGAAUUACUGGGCGUAAAGCGUGCGCAGGCGGUUAUGUAAGACAGAUGUGAAAUCCCCGGGCUCAACCUGGGAACUGCGUUUGUGACUGCAUAACUAGAGUACGGCAGAGGGAGGUGGAAUUCCGCGUGUAGCAGUGAAAUGCGUAGAUAUGCGGAGGAACACCGAUGGCGAAGGCAGCCUCCUGGGCCAGUACUAACGCUCAUGCACGAAAGCGUGGGGAGCAAACAGGAUUAGAUACCCUGGUAGUCCACGCCCUAAACGAUGUCAACUAGUUGUUCGGUGAGGAGACUCAUUGAGUAACGCAGCUAACGCGUGAAGUUGACCGCCUGGGGAGUACGGCCGCAAGGUUAAAACUCAAAUGAAUUGACGG
rnacentral:rRNA from 1 species